rnacentral:rRNA from 1 species
AUGAACGCUAGCGACAGGCUUAACACAUGCAAGUCGAGGGGUAACAGGGUAGCAAUACCGCUGACGACCGGCGCACGGGCGAGUAACGCGUAUGCAACCUGCCUAGUAACUGGGGGAAUAGCUCCCUGAAAGGGGAAUUAACACCGCAUAAUACUAUUGAUUCGCAUGGAUUAGUAGUUAAAUGUAGCGAUACAGGUUAUAGAUGGGCAUGCGUGACAUUAGCUAGUUGGUGAGGUAACGGCUCACCAAGGCUACGAUGUCUAGGGGUUCUGAGAGGAAGGUCCCCCCACACUGGUACUGAGACACGGACCAGACUCCUACGGGAGGCAGCAGUGAGGAAUAUUGGUCAAUGGGCGCAAGCCUGAACCAGCCAUGUCGCGUGCAGGAAGAACCUGCCCUAUGGGUUGUAAACUGCUUUUAUAGUAGAAGAAACACAUCUACGUGUAGAUGUCUGCCAGUAUACUAUGAAUAAGCAUCGGCUAACUCCGUGCCAGCCGCGGC